UGGUCCAUGACUGAGGCAAUAGCCUGUGAGGUCAGGGUUGGAGGAGGACAUUUUGAGGGUACUGGCAGGUCCUCUGUGGUCUGGGAAGGCCUGCUCACCAGCUCUUGGGACAGUGAAGAGCCCGGGAAGGAAGGCAACAGCUGUGUGUGGGGAGAAUAUCGCUAGAGGCUCAUCGUGUAUUUUCCAUCUGUUCCCGUCUCCAGGACGCCAGCAGUCUGUCUCUGCAUAGAUGCAGCUGAGUGAGUGACUCCAGACCUUUUUGUGGGGCUGAAGACCACGGCCAGGCCCUGCUUCCACUUGCGCCUGCAGCAUGAUGAGAAAUCACCGCCCACCAUGGCUCCUAGCCAGUCAGAUGCGGAACAUGGUCUCACUCAGCAGUGGACAACAGGACAAGAAUAAAUGAUGUUUUUAAAAAUUUUGAUAGAUUAUCACUACGGAGCCCAGAGUGGCCUCAAGCUGGUGAUCCUCCUGCUUCAGCCUCCCACAUGCUGGCAUUACAGGCGUGUCCCACCAUGCCUGGGAUGAACUACAAGCCUCAUUCCCAAACAUCAGCCUGAAGAAAGCCCGUAUCUCAGCCCCCUCCAUCAGGUGGACUUGGAAGCAGAACCAGUUUUGAAUAUGCAGAGAUCCGAGAAGAUCUUCCCAGGCCCUGUCAAGCACAGGGACAGGAGCGUGGCACAGCAUUCACAUGGCUCCAGCCAGCCCUGACUGACAGCUCUGGGAGCCACGCUGUGUUCACAGAGUUCUGAAGUGUGAGGCCAGCUCGUGCAGUUGCUGUUGCUUCUGUUCUCCUUUCUCAUAAGAAACCAUUUCAGUGCUUGCUGCAUUAUGUGCUUGCUGCAGCAAAAUUAAACAACAACAGGAGUGUAGAAAAGAAACCCUCAUAGCCUGCUCCAAGCUCAUGGAGGCACACACCCUUUAGGAAUUGUGCAGGCUGGGCAUGUAGCUCAGUGGGUAACACUUAUCUAGCACAUGUGCAGUCCUCGGCUCCAUCUCCAGCACCACAAGAAAACAUCCUUGGAGCCACACACUGGUGAUUCAGCACUAGGGAGGCAGAGGGGGAGAAUCAAAAGUUUAGUUAUCCUUGGCUACCUAAGGAGCUUAAGGCCAGCCUGGCUAUAGGAGACUACCAGGAAGGGAGGAAAGAAGAAAGGAAAAGGGGAGGAAGGAGAGAGAGGGAGAGAGAGAGAGAAUGAAUUUUAUCUAAAGAUACCAAUAAAGUAUAUUUGGGGCAAAGUUCUCAAUAUGCUCAUGCAUAUUUAACUAUUUUAAAGGCUGUAUAAUAGUCUCUUUAUAUGUAAAUAGCAUCUUCAGCAGCAACAUAGCGUGAGCCUCACUGCAAGCUUUAUUUUCUGGUAGACACACCUACAGAGUACACUGAGCCGGGCAUAGUGCACAUGCCUUUGGGAUAUACCGGCCUGCCUGGUCUACAAAGGGAGUUCCUGGACAACCAGUG